rnacentral:rRNA from 1 species
AUACGGAGGGAGCGAGCGUUAAUCGGAAUUACUGGGCGUAAAGCGCGUGUAGGCGGCAGCGCAAGUCGGGUGUGAAAUCCCAGGGCCCAACCCUGGAACUGCACCCGAAACUGCGCAGCUAGAGUCUCGGAGAGGAUGGCGGAAUUUCCGGUGUAGAGGUGAAAUUCGUAGAUAUCGGAAGGAACACCAGUGGCGAAGGCGGCCAUCUGGACGAUGACUGACGCUGAGACGCGAAAGCGUGGGGAGCAAACAGGAUUAGAAACCCCAGUAGUCC